ACGAACGCUGGCGGCAUGCCUAACACAUGCAAGUCGCACGAGACCUUCGGGUCUAGUGGCGCACGGGUGCGUAACGCGUGGGAACCUGCCCUUAGGUUCGGAAUAACUCCCCGAAAGGGGUGCUAAUACCGGAUAAUGUCUUCGGACCAAAGAUUUAUCGCCUUUGGAUGGGCCCGCGUUGGAUUAGCUAGUUGGUAGGGUAAAAGCCUACCAAGGCGACGAUCCAUAGCUGGUCUGAGAGGAUGAUCAGCCACACUGGGACUGAGACACGGCCCAGACUCCUACGGGAGGCAGCAGUGGGGAAUAUUGGACAAUGGGCGAAAGCCUGAUCCAGCAAUGCCGCGUGAGUGAUGAAGGCCUUAGGGUUGUAAAGCUCUUUUACCCGGGAUGAUAAUGACAGUACCGGGAGAAUAAGCUCCGGCUAACUCCGU
rnacentral:rRNA from 1 species